GAAACUUAAGUGCUUAGCAUAAUUCCAACUUGUCAAAGAUUGUGUUACAGUACUAGGCCUUCUAGAAGCCCACAAAUUCGAUCUUUCAAGAACUGUAUUUAGGCAUGCCUACACCUAGGCUGACCAUGCACCAAUAGCUCAAUCAUUAGUGCUCACACCUAGGUCUGACUAUAUGCCCACACAUCGCUCACCAGCACUACCGUACGAACCUGGACCUGGCUCAAUUCUAUCAAACCUGAACACCAUGCCUAUGUUUUUAGAGUCUUGAUCACUACCUAUACCACUAUUCUAGGCUAGUUUCCCACAUCUUGGGCAUCUAGUAGCCCUUAAGGCCUAGUCCCUAUAGCUAUCAAACCAUGUCUUACUAGAACUAGAACUACACCUUGACUUAAAGAGAACCCUUGGGCUUGGUCUAGCUUACAGAUUGUAACACAUGCACAUGCCUCGACCACCAUCAAGAUAUGUUGGCCUCUAGUCUCAGCACAUGCUUUAAAUACCAUCAACACAUGUUAGUCCAUUCUGUAAUUAGUUCCCUCAAACACCAUUGGCACAUACUAGAACGUACACCACAUGAGGGUAUCUUAGGCCUGGGCCAUGCACCAUGCACACUACAACUAGGUAGUAGGUGAGUUCAAGCACAUCUUUACAUUUCUGCUAUGCCAAUGCCAUUAUUGUGUCUUUUAAAUUCAUAUAACCACUCACUAGUGCCUGCACCAAAGCUUGGCUCAAUUUUGCCAAACAUGAACAUUGUGCUUGAGCCUCUAGAGUUUUGAUCAUUGCCCAUAGCAUUGUUCUAGGCUAGUUACGCCAUGACCUAGGCCUUUAAUAGGCCUUAAGGCCUGGUCCCCCUAGCAGUUGGACCCUAUUUUUCUAGAGCUAGAAUUGCUCCUUAACUUAAAGAGAACCUCUAGCUUCGACUAGCUUGUUGACUGUUAUACAAGUUGGCAAAAUGGAUCUAUAACCUCGAGAAAACGAUUGGCUCUAAGGGCUUGGCACAUGGGUUUGAGUUCUAAACCUGUCAGUUGUCAAUCGAUGGCUUAAGCUACUCUUAUGGCGAGAGCAAGUCAUUAAGUGCCAGCAGAGGGAUGGACUAGGAAUAACUCCCUUAAGGGUCUUUCUCGAGCAAUGAAUAGUCAACUUAGAAUUGGUACAGACAAGGGGAAUUCAACUGUCUAAUUAAAAUAAAGCAUUGCGAUGGCCCUAGUGGAUGCUCACGCAUUGUGAUUUCUACCAAGUGCUUUAAAUGUCAAAGUGAAGAAAUUCAACUAAGCACGGGUUAAUGGCAAUAGUAACUAUGACUCUCUUAAGGUAGCCAAAUCUUUGUCAUCUAAUUAGUGAUGUGCAUAAAUGGAUUAAUGAGAUUCCCAUUGUCCUUGUCUACUAUCUAGCAAAACCACAGCCAAGGGAAUGGGCUUGGCAAAAGCAAUGGGGAAAGAAGACCCUGUUGAGCUUGACUCUAGUUCAACUUUGUGAAAUGAAUUGAAAAGUGUAGGAUAAGUGGGAACCUUCUAGUGAAAUUGAAAUUCCACUACUUUUAGCAUUAUUUUACUUAUUUUAUGAAUCAAAGGCAAGGCAUAACCCCUUCUUUUGGACCCAACGUCGGCCUUGGUCAAUCAAUCUAGGUGCAAGACAUUGUCAAGUGGAGAGUUUUGCUAGGGCAGUGCAUUUGUUAAAGAUAGCACAGGUGUCUUACGAUGAGCUUAACGAGAAAAGAAAUCUUGUGUGAAAUAAAAGGGAAAAAGCUCAUUUGAUUUUGAUUUCCAAUACAAAUAUGAACCAUGAAAAUAUGGCCUAUCGAUCUUUUAAACCUUUAAAAUUUAAAGCUAGAGGUGUAAGAAAAGUUACCACAGAGACAACCUCGUGGCAGCCAAGCACUCAUAGCGAUGUUGCUUUUUGAUCCUUUGAUAUUGGCUAUUCCUAUCAUUGUGAAGUAGAAUUCACCAAGUGUUGGAUCAUUCACCCAUCAAUAAGAAACGUGAGCUGGGUUUAGACCAUCAUGAGAUAAGUUAGUUUUACCCUAUUGAUGGUAGUGUCACAAUAGUAAUUCAACCUUAUACGAAAGGAACCAUUGAUUAGCACAAUUGGCCAUUGCACUUGGUUAAGAAGUCAAUGGUGCAAAGCUACUGCAUAUUGGAUUAUGAUUGAAUGCCACUGGAUUAUGACUGAAUGCCUCUAAGUCAGAAUCUAAGCUAGAAGUGACACACGUGCUCGUUAGCUAGAUAGUCGACCCGUAGUAGGGGCCUAUAGCCCCCAAGGGCACAAGUCAUAGGUGUAGCCGCCACUGUAGAUAAGCAAUGCAGGCCUCCUUGAAGCUCAAUUCCUAUAGAGUGGUACAUAAAAUCCUUUGUAGAUGACUUAAAUACGUGAUGGGAUAUUGUAAAUGGUAGAGUGGCCUUACUACCACAAUCCAUUGAGACUCAAC
rnacentral:rRNA from 1 species